rnacentral:rRNA from 1 species
ACUUAAAUUGAAGAGUUUGAUCAUGGCUCAGAUUGAACGCUGGCGGCAGGCCUAACACAUGCAAGUCGAGCGGUAACACAGAGAGCUUGCUCUCGGGUGACGAGCGGCGGACGGGUGAGUAAUGUCUGGGAAACUGCCUGAUGGAGGGGGAUAACUACUGGAAACGGUAGCUAAUACCGCAUAACGUCGCAAGACCAAAGUGGGGGACCUUCGGGCCUCAUGCCAUCAGAUGUGCCCAGAUGGGAUUAGCUAGUAGGUGGGGUAACGGCUCACCUAGGCGACGAUCCCUAGCUGGUCUGAGAGGAUGACCAGCCACACUGGAACUGAGACACGGUCCAGACUCCUACGGGAGGCAGCAGUGGGGAAUAUUGCACAAUGGGCGCAAGCCUGAUGCAGCCAUGCCGCGUGUGUGAAGAAGGCCUUCGGGUUGUAAAGCACUUUCAGCGGGGAGGAAGGCGGUGAGGUUAAUAACCUCACCGAUUGACGUUACCCGCAGAAGAAGCACCGGCUAACUCCGUGCCAGCAGCCGCGGUAAUACGGAGGGUGCAAGCGUUAAUCGGAAUUACUGGGCGUAAAGCGCACGCAGGCGGUCUGUCAAGUCGGAUGUGAAAUCCCCGGGCUCAACCUGGGAACUGCAUUCGAAACUGGCAGGCUAGAGUCUUGUAGAGGGGGGUAGAAUUCCAGGUGUAGCGGUGAAAUGCGUAGAGAUCUGGAGGAAUACCGGUGGCGAAGGCGGCCCCCUGGACAAAGACUGACGCUCAGGUGCGAAAGCGUGGGGAGCAAACAGGAUUAGAUACCCUGGUAGUCCACGCCGUAAACGAUGUCGAUUUGGAGGUUGUGCCCUUGAGGCGUGGCUUCCGGAGCUAACGCGUUAAAUCGACCGCCUGGGGAGUACGGCCGCAAGGUUAAAACUCAAAUGAAUUGACGGGGGCCCGCACAAGCGGUGGAGCAUGUGGUUUAAUUCGAUGCAACGCGAAGAACCUUACCUGGUCUUGACAUCCACAGAACUUUCCAGAGAUGGAUUGGUGCCUUCGGGAACUGUGAGACAGGUGCUGCAUGGCUGUCGUCAGCUCGUGUUGUGAAAUGUUGGGUUAAGUCCCGCAACGAGCGCAACCCUUAUCCUUUGUUGCCAGCGGUUCGGCCGGGAACUCAAAGGAGACUGCCAGUGAUAAACUGGAGGAAGGUGGGGAUGACGUCAAGUCAUCAUGGCCCUUACGACCAGGGCUACACACGUGCUACAAUGGCAUAUACAAAGAGAAGCGACCUCGCGAGAGCAAGCGGACCUCAUAAAGUAUGUCGUAGUCCGGAUUGGAGUCUGCAACUCGACUCCAUGAAGUCGGAAUCGCUAGUAAUCGUAGAUCAGAAUGCUACGGUGAAUACGUUCCCGGGCCUUGUACACACCGCCCGUCACACCAUGGGAGUGGGUUGCAAAAGAAGUAGGUAGCUUAACCUUCGGGAGGGCGCUUACCACUUUGUGAUUCAUGACUGGGGUGAAGUCGUAACAAGGUAACCGUAGGGGAACCUGCGGUUGGAUCACCUCCUUACCUUAAAGAA